UCGAGAUAACAAUAAUUUUAUUUCUGGUUCUUUGGAUUAAAAUGUGAAAUUAUUGAUGCCAUUUACUAUUUAAACAAAGCCUAGGUCGUAACUAAUAUAUGAAAUAAUUACAAUAUCAAUAUUAUAAACACUAAAAGAAUGGUGUUUUUCGAAAAUUUAAUGAUGCAACCAAUAAUACACAAGUGCAUGGGCAAAGUUGUGACACUACUUUAGAAGUGGUGGUAUUACUGACAGUAGUACCAGUAAAAUACCCAUAAAAUAGCACGCAAACAUUUAGAAAAAAUAUGGACGCAAAAUUUGUCUUUAAAUGUGAUGUAGCAUCAAAGGAAAUAAAGAAUGAUUGCACUCUGAAUCCGACAGACGUCACAAAAGGUGAAGCCCCCUGGCUGUGGGCAAAAAACAACAAAUACAGUUUAGAAAAUGUGAAUGAUUACUGCAAAGUGGGCAAAUGGAUGUUGUUUUUACCAAAAGCAGAUGUAAAUGGGAUAUGGACUAAAAUAAAAGAAGCUGUAAAAAUUGGAGAUCUUUGGGACGCAAAAGUUUCAACAUCUGCAGAUACUGAACCUCUUCACGCUGUAAUAAUUU